ACUUUGAUGUGCUCAAUACAUUGGAUAAUCAAUCAGAUAACCCAACUGGAAUGAAACAGCAAUAGAGGGAGAUUUUGGUCACUUCAUGACUGCCAUCUUGGAGACUAAGGCUUUUAAAGCCACUCCAUUGGCUCUCAGGCUGGUGGAAGUUUAAUAUUGGCUGGCUCUACAUGGCACACCAGGAAGAAAAAUGUCUGCUGUCAGUGAAUUAAUUACCCUGUUUGGCACCUAUCAACCUCUCAUUUUUUAAGUCAUCCACAGAAACCUCCUAUGGGUUUCUGCACUCUGCUGUCAAGAAUGGUACCUCUACCUCCAUUUUGUUCUACGAUUCAAUAUAUUCCUGCCAGGGAUGCAACAUUCUUCUUCUACAGACACUCAUGGUUGGAAAUCUUUGCAAACAACAAAUGGAAAAGGUAU